rnacentral:rRNA from 1 species
UACAGAGGUGGCAAGCGUUGUUCGGAAUUACUGGGCGUAAAGGGCGCGUAGGCGGCCCGUCAAGUCCCGUGUGAAAGCCCCCGGCUCAACCGGGGAACGGCGCGGGAAACUAGCAGGCUUGAGUUCGGGAGAGGGAAGCGGAAUUCCGGGUGGUAGCGGUGAAAUGCGCAGAUAUCCGGAGGAACACCGGUGGCGAAGGCGGCUUCCCUGGACCGACA